rnacentral:rRNA from 1 species
CAGUAGCCGCGGUAAUACGUAGGGUGCGAGCGUUAAUCGGAAUUACUGGGCGUAAAGCGUGCGCAGGCGGUUGUGUAAGACAGGUGUGAAAUCCCCGGGCUUAACCUGGGAACUGCGCUUGUGACUGCACAGCUAGAGUAUGGCAGAGGGGGGUGGAAUUCCACGUUUAGCAGUGAAAUGCGUAGAGAUGUGGAGGAACACCGAUGGCGAAGGCAGCCCCCUGGGCCAAUACUGACGCUCAUGCACGAAAGCGUGGGGAGCAAACAGGAUUAGAUACCCCUGUAGUCCCUGUCUCUUAUCC